rnacentral:lncRNA from 1 species
GAUCCGGCCCUCCGCGGCUCCUGCGCGACCCCACGCAAAAGCGCCCCGUGCGAAGAGCGCGGCCAGCCAGUCCGCAAAGGGCCUCGGGCAGUGCGGGCAGCACGAACGGCGCGAUCGGGGAGCAGGCGCGGCUACGCUCCGCCUCAGUGAUGUCGCCGGGAGGAUCUCCGCGCGGCUACCUCCUCUUCCGCCGCCUUCCUCCCACGCCUUCACCUCCCUCCCCCGCCGCGCUCUGCGGCGAAAAGGAGCGGGCUCCCAGGCCACCUCCCCUCUCUCCACCCAGGGGCCGCGCGUCAGUGGACCUGCAGCCCAGGCAACGGGGCUGCGGACGGCGCGCGUGCCCUGCCUCGCCUCACGCCGGUAGCUGAUGCUCCCGCGGCAGCUGCCACCCCAGCGCCCCAGCCACGGCUUCAGAGGCUCUCGCACGCUGGCUUUUUUUUUUUCCCCCCGCUUUGGUGAACUCGCAGUACUUGGGCUGAGCCCGAAAUCUCGCGAGAUGCUGCAGGCGUCAGUGCGGCUUCCCACUAGGCGCGUGGUACCCGAGGCCGGGCCGGAGCCGCAGGCCAGCCGCGAUUCCUUCGGGCGAUGCUGGGGGCUUUCCGGUCGGGGCCGCAGCCGCUUCCGGAGCCGCGGGCGAGGUGCGUUCCCCAGCCUGGUUUGCUCUGGGCUCUGACCCGCCGCCGCGAAUCUCCGCUCGUAACUCCGGGCCUGAACCUGGAGGAGGGAGGAUUUCCUCUGUGCAGCUUUCGAGCGGUAGACUCACCCUGCCAGGCAGACCUAGAUUGGCAUAACCAGAGAUCAGUUCCAGUUGUGAUGCAGUGGGUGUCUACACACUUCUGAUGACACCUUUAUUUUAAAAGCUGAUGUUCCAAGGUGCAAGCGGUCUUCUCUGUCUUCUUUAUGGCCAGUAAAAUUCUCCAGAAGAGAUUUAUGGCAGCCUCACUCCCAGUAGUUUCUGCAUUUAGUGAGAUAAGAUGGAAUCUUGCUCUCUUGCUCAGACUGGAGUGCAGUGGCAUGACCUUGGCUCACUGCAACCUCACCUCUCGGGUUCAAGCGAUUCUGCCUCAGCCUCUCGAGUAGCUGGGACUACAGGUGGGAGACCUCCACAGAACCCUUCCAGCAAGCUGUCUUCUAAAGCAAACAAGAAAAGGAAAGUCUGAGCAGUUUUGAUUAGAUUUCCCAGAAGUCAAAGCAAGGAAAAAUGAAAAAGCUUCAUUUCUCACGUUCUUAAAAGAGAGCACAGAUGUUGCAUCAUCUGGUUAGAUACCCUGAGAAUAAAAUCUGGAUCCAGUGAGAGGAAAGAUUCUGGGUGCUCAUGAAAAAAGAAACAAAACAAAACUUGGGAGCCUCUUGAGAGUGUACAGCAUCAGCCCUUGCCAACUCUUGUUUAUAUGCAUUUAACUUUCAGUUAACCAUGGGAAUAAUUCAUGAAAAUCCAAUCUACAAACAAAGGCCAUCCUAACGUUCAUGUUAUUCUUUUCCCUAAGAAUCUUUCACAAGAGCUAUAAUCAAGUAGAAUUAUGCUUUGAUUUGAAUUCUAAUUCAAUUGAAAAUAAAAAAUGAGGGCCGGACGCGGUGGCUCAUGCCUGUAAUCCCAGCGCUUUGGGAGGCUGAGGUGGACGGAUCACGAGGUCAGGAGAUCGAGACCAUCCUGGCUAACACGGUGAAACCCGAUCCCUACUAAAAAUACAAAAAAUUAGCCGGGCGUGGUGGCAGGCGCCUGUAGUCCCAGCUACUCGGGAGGCUGAGGCAGGAGAAUGGCGUGAACCCAGGAGGCAGAGGUUGCAGUGAGCCGAGAUCAUGCUACUGCACUCCAGCCUGGGCGACAGAGCGAGACUCUGUGUAUAAAUAAAUAAAUAAAUAAAUAAAU